GUUUACGACGGUAAACCCAAAAGGAAAUGGCCUUGGGGCCGUAAACUCCUCAAAGGAGUGUAUUUAAGCCCUAAACCUAAAAGGAAAUGGCCUUGGGGCCGUAUACUCCUCAAAGGAGUGUAUUUAAGCCCUAAACCUUUCCAAGGAUUAAUCCAUCAAGUAGGAAUGCUUCUAGGGAUCAUUUAGAACUCCAAAACACCAAAUGACAUAAGGCCUAGGAGCUUACGGCCGUAAACUCAAGGGUUUACGACCGUAAACUCCUUGUGUGAGGUUUAUUGGAGAGUGAACUCAUGUAUGGGGUCCUUUGGAACCCUAAACCCACUAGCCUUGUCCUACAACAACUUAGAUGUAAUCCUUAGGGCUUAUAACACUUAUAUAAAGUGUUUAUCAUGUUCUAGGAUGUCUUAACAUUUUCAAUUAGUAGUUUAAGACUAAUUGGGUGCAUAUAUGUGUGAUUAUAUGUUCUUUAGGAUCAUAGUGUGUGUACAAGUCCUCACUUGACACCUAACAAUCCUACACCGUUCAGUUCAUCCAAACCACCAUCUUCAGGUGAGUUCAUACCCCUUAAUCAAUGUUUUAAAUGAUUUUAAAUGCUUUAAUGGGGGGGGGGGGAUACAAGUAGAAAACAACAUGUUAUUAAAUCAAUCAUAGGUAUUUAUAACUGUGUUUUCAUCCAACUGAUUUCACAUGCUUCAAAAUGUGAUGUAUGAAAUGGUUUUCUAUCUUAAAAAUACCAUGUUAUCAAAAGUAUUACGUUUGAAAUGUUUAUUAAAAUGACAUCAAGUCAUUGUUAAUUAUUGUUCAAAACUCUUAGAUGUCUUACAAAACCAUUUUUACCUUCUUGAACAAAACUAUAUCUAUACACUUAUGUUC
rnacentral:lncRNA from 1 species